AUUGAACGCUGGCGGCAGGCCUAACACAUGCAAGUCGAACGGUAACAGGAAGACGCUUGCUUCUUUGCUGACGAGUGGCGGACGGGUGAGUAAUGUCUGGGAAACUGCCUGAUGGAGGGGGAUAACUACUGGAAACGGUAGCUAAUACCGCAUAACGUCGCAAGACCAAAGAGGGGGACCUUCGGGCCUCUGGCCAUCGGAUGUGCCCAGAUGGGAUUAGCUAGUAGGUGGGGGAACGGCUCACCUAGGCGGCGAUCCCUAGCUGGUCUGAGAGGAUGACCAGCCACACUGGAACUGAGACACGGUCCAGACUCCUACGGGAGGCAGCAGUGGGGAAUAUUGCACGAUGGGCGCAAGCCUGAUGCAGCCAUGCCGCGUGUAUGAAGAAGGCCUUCGGGUUGUAAAGUACUUUCAGCGGGGAGGAAGGGAGUAAAGUUAAUACCUUUGCUCAUUGACGUUACCCGCAGAAGAAGCUCCGGCUAACUCCGUG
rnacentral:rRNA from 1 species